GGUGUAGCUCAAUUGUACAGUAUCUGUUUGGCAUGGAGAAGGGCCCAGGUUCCAUCCCUGGCAUAUCCA
rnacentral:tRNA from 1 species